AUAAUUAAACAAAAAAAAUGGAAUUCUUUCUACGUGAUAAAACCUUCCUAUUAUCACAAUUCUUAAUUUUCUGCAUGAUAGUUGUCGAUUCAUGUCGAGGUCAAGUCUAUAAGCCUCCAGAAGUCGAGAAAUUAACCGAUCAUUUCAGCUGAUUAUCGCUUAACCAGGGUUAUAAUGUAUUCUUUGGAUGUGCUAAUGUUCAUAUGACAAAAAUGGGUCCAAUGCUGAUCUUAUCUUAGAUAAAUCCUCAGGUUCUGGGCUGAUCUCUAAGGACAAAUACUACUAUGGUUUCUUCAAUGCUGCUCUAAAAUUGCCUGCUCAUUUUACAUCUAGAGUUGUAAUUGCCUUUUAUUUGUCUAAUUCAGAUGUGUUCCCACACAACCAUGAUGGAAUUGACUUUGAGUUGCUUGGGCAUGAUAAAAGAAGGGAUUAUGUUCUACAAACUAGUCUUUAUGGAAAUGGAAGUGUUCACACAGGGAAAGAAGAGAAGUUUUACCUCUGGUUUGAUCCAACAUUGGAUUUUCAUGACUACAGCAUCCUCUGGAAUAAUCAUCACAUAGUGUGCAUAUAUUUCUAGUGGCCUUGUGGGCGCAGAGGCGCGGUUAUGGCGGGGACUUAGGUGAGCUGCACUCUAUACUAUGAUCCGCAGCCGGUAGAGUCUCCUUCAGGGUACUUGCAUUUUUCCUGUCCAGUUUGUAUUCCGGACAAUUGUUGUAUUUUAUUUUAUAUUCCUAGUAAAUGUUUAUGCACUUGUGACACCGAGUUUUAGG